CCUGGCUUGAUACCUUGAUUUUAGCUUGGUAAAACCCUUAGAGAAUCCAGCCCUGUCACGACAUAUACUUCUGACUUAGAAAAACUGUGUGAUUAUAAAUUGAGUUGUUUAAGUCACUAAAUUAGUAGAAUUUGUUGUACAGCAAUAGAUAACUAAUAAGUCAACUCUGCCUGUGGUCAGGGUGGAUAAUCUGCAAGCCAACCAUCCUGCUUUACAGACUGUUUCCAUUCAUUAGGUUCACCUGUGAAGAUGGUAAUUCCUACCAGUGCUACAGAUGUCACUGCAAAUGGACAAGCCAAGUCUAGAAGACGCUAGGUCGGGAUUGGACAGCCAGAGGCUGGAAGAUGAUUCUAAGACCAAUGAAACAGAAAGGGAAGCAUAUCACAAACCAGAGCCAGACACUCUGCUAGGUUCUGAGGAUUCAGAGAAUGAAUUAUUUCCUUUCCACUAAGAAGUCGGUUAGAACUUCAAUCGAGAGAACACACAGAGCAAACUGGGUGAUCAACCUGCCUUGUGAAAACAUUAGGUUGUGCAUAUUGUGAUUAUGCACUUGACUUUACAAAUCAAGGGCUAAGCUAUACAAGGUUUUUAAACUUUGUACCUGAUGAAGACCAAAAUACAAGGAAACUAUCCUGUAACUGGUGAGGCGGCAAGAGGAGAGAAGUCAGUGGUGCUGUCCCCCAAAGUUCUAAAGGACUUCUCGGCUCCAUUGUGGCACUAGAAACCAGGGUUUGGUCCAUCAACUCCUUGCUUGUCCUGAGGACCCAGUCCCAGAAAGAUGGUGUUCGGCCCUGCAGUACCUCAGGAUUGUUGCUUGGAUUGAAUCACACCCAGACACUUCUACAACUCAGAGCUCACUCUCCUCUGAGGAAAUACCUCAAACCCAGUUGAAAGGGAGGCCAGCUCUGUCAGCAUGUGACAAAAAGGAAAAAGACAUGUCAUCUUCCUAGGAUCCUUCUAGAAACCCAAUUAACCUGGAGGCCCAAUGUACAGAACCUGUAUAGCAAAAGGCAAUAGCCUCGACACACUCUGCUCAGAGAACCCAGCACGCCUGGUCUCAGCACCAUUACCAGGAAUCAGACCCUGCUAUUUUGGAAGACGAGGAAAUACUGCUAGUAGGGAUGGUGAAAAGUAGAACAGAACACAAGGAGGAACAUUCCAGCAGGUCCUGGGAGGAGCCAGCAUCACUGCUUCAGCCAAGGCUUUAGAGGGCCUGUAAGGCUAGGCUACAGCUCUCAUCCCAGGCAUUCACUGGAACUAACGUGGAAAGCAUUAAAAAUACCCAUACCUGGCCUCAUUGCUGAGAUUCUGAUGUAACUGGUCUGGAAUGUGACCUGGGUAUCAGGAUUUUUAAGAUUCUCAGGCGAUGCUUUUGUUCAGCCAAGGUUGGGAAAGACCAGAGUAAGGCUGACACGUUUCCGGCAGCUUCUGAAAGUUAGCGAAUGUCAAACACUGGGAAGCUGCCCGUGGCUGACAUUAAAUUGACUAUAGAGACAGGAAAUCUGAAUCAAAUCAAGAAACACUGAUGGAGCCCAGACUUCUGGAUGAGCACAGGAGAUGAUGAGUGGGUGAGUCUUCUCUGCAGAGGAGCAGGGCUGGUUUCCUGGAAGUAUCUCAGUGCUUAUCAGAAGCUACCAUUCUACAUGUAUUCACAUUUAGAGUUGCUUGAUAAAGCACAAAAUGCCCAGUUAAACAUGAAUUUCAGAGAAACAAUUUUUUUGGUAUAGUUAUAUCUUAACCAUUGCAUGGGAUAAUAAUUUUUAGAAUAAGUAUGUCCCAAAUGUUGCAUGGGAUAAUAGUUUUUAGUAUAAGUUAUGUCCCCAGUAUUGCAGGGUCCAUACUUACACUAAACUUACAUUGUUUGCUGUUUAUCUGAAAUUCAAAUCGAACUGUGCGUCCUGUAUUUUUAUUUGCUAUAUGUGGCCACUCUAUUCAUAUUUAUUCUUUACCAUCAUCAUAGGCAUAUUUAUUAAUCUCAUGUGUCAGCCACUGUGCUAAGUAUUUAGCAUACUGUAGCACAUUUAAUCUCCCCAGAAACUACCAUUGUGCAGAUCUGGAGGUUGCCUGUAGCAUAAUAAAGACUUCUUAAAUGAUUGC